AUUUAUAUAGUUUAAUUAACUAAAACCUUUCAUUUUCAGUGAAAAAACAAGAGAAUAUAUCUUUAUAAAUA
rnacentral:tRNA from 1 species